UACGGAGGGAGCUAGCGUUGUUCGGACUUACUGGGCGUAAAGCGCACGUAGGCGGUUAUUCAAGUCAGAGGUGAAAGCCCGGGGCUCAACCCCGGAACUGCCUUUGAAACUAGAUGACUAGAAUCUUGGAGAGGUCAGUGGAAUUCCGAGUGUAGAGGUGAAAUUCGUAGAUAUUCGGAAGAACACCAGUGGCGAAGGCGACUGACUGGACAAGUAUUGACGCUGAGGUGCGAAAGCGUGGGGAGCAAACAGG
rnacentral:rRNA from 1 species